UACGAAGGGGGCUAGCGUUGUUCGGAAUCACUGGGCGUAAAGCGCACGUAGGCGGAUCUUUAAGUCGGGGGUGAAAUCCUGGAGCUCAACUCCAGAACUGCCUUCGAUACUGGAAGACUUGAGUCCGGGAGAGGUGAGUGGAACUGCGAGUGUAGAGGUGAAAUUCGUAGAUAUUCGCAAGAACACCAGUGGCGAAGGCGGCUCACUGGCCCGGUACUGACGCUGAGGUGCGAAAGCGUGGGGAGCAAACAGG
rnacentral:rRNA from 1 species